GACUUAAGCAUAUCCAAUAAGCGGAGGAAAAGAAACCCAACAGGGAUUGCCCUAGUAACGGCGAGUGAAGCGGCAACAGCUCAAAUUUGAAAUCUGCCUUCGGGCCGAGUUGUAAUUUGUAGAGGAAGCUUUUGGUGAGGCACCUUCUGAGUCCCCUGGAACGGGGCGCCAUAGAGGGUGAGAGCCCCGUAUAGUCGGAUGCCGAUCCAAUGUAAAGCUCCUUCGACGAGUCGAGUAGUUUGGGAAUGCUGCUCAAAAUGGGAGGUAAAUUUCUUCUAAAGCUAAAUACCGGCCAGAGACCGAUAGCGCACAAGUAGAGUGAUCGAAAGAUGAAAAGCACCUUGAAAAGGGGGUUAAAUAGCACGUGAAAUUGUUGAAAGGGAAGCGUUUGCGGCCAGACUUGCGCCGCCCCGAUCAUCCGGUGUUCUCACCGGUGCACUCGGGGCGGCGCAGGCCAGCAUCGGUUUCGGCGGGGGGAUAAAGGCCCGGGGAACGUAGCUCCUUCGGGAGUGUUAUAGCCCCGGGCGUAAUGCCCUCGCCGGGACCGAGGUUCGCGCAUCUGCAAGGAUGCUGGCGUAAUGGCCGCCAACGACCCGUCUUGAAACACGGACCAAGGAGUCAAGGUUUUGCGCGAGUGUUUGGGUGUAAAACCCGCACGCGUAAUGAAAGUGAACGUAGGUGAGAGCUUCGGCGCAUCAUCGACCGAUCCUGAUGUAUUCGGAUGGAUUUGAGUAAGAGCGUUAAGCCUUGGACCCGAAAGAUGGUGAACUAUGCUUGGGAUAGGGUGAAGCCAGAGGAAACUCUGGUGGAGGCUCGCAGCGGUUCUGACGUGCAAAUCGAUCGUCAAAUCUGAGCAUGGGGGGGCGAAAGACUAAUCGGAACCAUCUAGUAGCUGGUUUACCGCCCGAA
rnacentral:rRNA from 1 species